GCUAUAGCUCAGCUGGUUAGAGCAUCGGUUUGUGGUACCGAGGGUCGUGGGUUCAAGUCCCAUUAGC
rnacentral:tRNA from 1 species